rnacentral:rRNA from 1 species
UACGUAGGCAGCAAGCGUUGUUCGGAGUUACUGGGCGUAAAGGGUGCGUAGGCGGCUUUUUAAGUUUGGUGUGAAAUCUCCCGGCUCAACUGGGAGGGUGCGCCGAAUACUGAGAGGCUAGAGUGUGGGAGAGGAAAGUGGAAUUCCUGGUGUAGCGGUGAAAUGCGUAGAGAUCGGGAGGAACACCAGAGGCGAAGGCGGCGACCUGGACAAGUACUGACACUCAACUACGAAAGCGUGGGGAGCAAACAGG